AGUGGGUAGUCCGCACGAGCGCACCUCACUUUUAGUUGCCAUCAUUAAGUUGGGCACUCUGAAAGAACUGCCAGUGAUAAGCUGGAGGAAGGUGGGGAUGACGUCAAGUCCUCAUGGCCCUUACGUGUUGGGCUACACACGUGCUACAAUGGCAUCUACAACAGGAAGCAAAACGGCAACGUUUAGCAAAUCCCGAAAAGAUGCCUCAGUUCGGAUUGCACUCUGCAACUCGAGUGCAUGAAGCUGGAAUUACUAGUAAUCGUGGAUCAGCGUGCCACGGUGAAUGCGUUCCCGGGUCUUGUACACACCGCCCGUCACACCAUGGGAGUUGGUUCUACCUUAAGGCAAGGUUUUAAACCCUUGACCACGGUAUAGUCAGCGACUGGGGUGAAGUCGUAACAAGGUAGCCGUAGGGGAACCUGCGGCUGGAUUACCUCCUUUCU
rnacentral:rRNA from 1 species